AGAGUUUGAUCCUGGCUCAGGACGAACGCUGGCGGCGUGCCUAAUACAUGCAAGUCGAGCGAACCAAUAAGAAGCUUACUUUUUGUUGGUUAGCGGCGGACGGGUGAGUAACACGUGGGUAACCUGCCUGUAAGACCGGGAUAACUCCGGGAAACCGGUGCUAAUACCGGAUAGAUUAUCUUUCCGCCUGGAGAGAUAAGGAAAGAUGGCUAUUGCCAUCACUUACAGAUGGGCCCGCGGCGCAUUAGCUAGUUGGUGAGGUAACGGCUCACCAAGGCGACGAUGCGUAGCCGACCUGAGAGGGUGAUCGGCCACACUGGGACUGAGACACGGCCCAGACUCCUACGGGAGGCAGCAGUAGGGAAUCUUCCGCAAUGGACGAAAGUCUGACGGAGCAACGCCGCGUGAGCGAAGAAGGUCUUCGGAUCGUAAAGCUCUGUUGUUAGGGAAGAACAAGUAUCGGAGGAAAUGCCGGUACCUUGACGGUACCUGACGAGAA
rnacentral:rRNA from 1 species